CUUUACUGUAGCCUGGUAUUGGGUUCGGGCUUUGCCUGCGCAGGAUAGGUGGGAGACUGAGAAGUGUGCCUUGUGGGGCACGUAGAGUCAACGGUGAGAUACCACUCUGUCAGAGCUAGAAUUCUAACCUUCACCCGUGAUCCGGGGAAGGAACCGUAUCAGGUGGGCAGUUUGACUGGGGCGGUCGCCUCCUAAAAGGUAACGGAGGCGCGCAAAGGUGUUCUCAGGCUGGUUGGAAAUCAGCCGUAGAGUGUAAAGGCAGAAGAACGCUUGACUGGGAGAGUGAUAACUCAAGCAGGGUGGAAACACGGCCUUAGUGAUCCGACGGUAUGCGCGUGGAAGUGCCGUCGCUCAACGGAUAAAAGUUA
rnacentral:rRNA from 1 species